rnacentral:lncRNA from 1 species
GGGCAGAGCCCAUGGCCAGAUUCUUUCUUCUCAGGAUCCAGCGCUUUCUUUGCAAAGCACUGAGUGUGCUUCCAGGAGCCUCCCAGAACCUAUCAGCCUGCCCUGAGCUGAGGGACAGGGUGUCCCUGCCACCUGAAGACCCUGCCAUGUAAGGUUCAGUCAACCCCACUUGCCCUCCCCUUGCUUGUCCUUCUACUUUAUGUUCUCCUGAGACUCUGCAAACCAGAGAAGGGACAAGCUGAGGCAGGAGGCCUUGAGCCUUGAGAGUGGAUGGGAGAAGGAGAAUGUGGAGAAAUGGGGCAGCUGU